AGCAGCCGCGGUAAUUCCAGCUCCAAUAGCGUAUAUUAAAGUUGCUGCAGUUAAAAAGCUCGUAGUUGAAUUUCGGGACUAAUAUGUCGGUCGUGCCUCGGUACGUACUGGUUUAUUGGUUUCUCCUUUCUGAAGAACCAUGAUGUCAUUUAUUUGGUGUCAUGGGGAAUCAGGACUGUUACUUUGAAAAAAUUAGAGUGUUUAAAGCAGGCUCACGCUUGAAUACAUUAGCAUGGAAUAAUGAAAUAGGACGUUUGAUUCUAUUUUGUUGGUUUCUAGGAUCGACGUAAUGAUUAAUAGGGAUAGUUGGGGGCAUUAGUAUUCAAUUGUCAGAGGUGAAAUUCUUGGAUUUAUUGAAGACUAACUACUGCGAAAGCAUUUGCCAAGGAUGUUUUCAUUAAUCAAGAACGAAAGUUAGGGGAUCGAAGACGAUCAGAUACCGUCGUAGUCUCAACCAUAAACUAUGCCGACUAGGGAUCGGAUGAUGUUAAUUUUUUAAUGACUCAUUCGGCGCCUUACG
rnacentral:misc_RNA from 1 species